rnacentral:rRNA from 1 species
CAGCAGCCACGGGAAUACGAAGGGGGCUAGCGUUGUUCGGAAUUACUGGGCGUAAAGCGCACGUAGGCGGAUAUUUAAGUCAGGGGUGAAAUCCCAGAGCUCAACUCUGGAACUGCCUUUGAUACUGGGUAUCUUGAGUAUGGAAGAGGUGAGUGGAAUUCCGAGUGUAGAGGUGAAAUUCGUAGAUAUUCGGAGGAACACCAGUGGCGAAGGCGGCUCACUGGUCCAUUACUGACGCUGAGGUGCGAAAGCGUGGGGAGCAAACAGGAUUAGAUACCCCUGUAGUCCCUGUCUCUUAUAC